ACAUGCAGUCGAGCGGACAGAUGGGAGCUUGCUCCCUGAUGUUAGCGGCGGACGGGUGAGUAACACGUGGGUAACCUGCCUGUAAGACUGGGAUAACUCCGGGAAACCGGGGCUAAUACCGGAUGGUUGUCUGAACCGCAUGGUUCAGACAUAAAAGGUGGCUUCGGCUACCACUUACAGAUGGACCCGCGGCGCAUUAGCUAGUUGGUGAGGUAACGGCUCACCAAGGCGACGAUGCGUAGCCGACCUGAGAGGGUGAUCGGCCACACUGGGACUGAGACACGGCCCAGACUCCUACGGGAGGCAGCAGUAGGGAAUCUUCCGCAAUGGACGAAAGUCUGACGGAGCAACGCCGCGUGAGUGAUGAAGGUUUUCGGAUCGUAAAGCUCUGUUGUUAGGGAAGAACAAGUGCCGUUCAAAUAGGGCGGCACCUUGACGGUACCUAACCAGAAAGCCACGGCUAACUACGUGCCAGCAGCCGCGGUAAUACGUAGGUGGCAAGCGUUGUCCGGAAUUAUUGGGCGUAAAGGGCUCGCAGGCGGUUUCUUAAGUCUGAUGUGAAAGCCCCCGGCUCAACCGGGGAGGGUCAUUGGAAACUGGGGAACUUGAGUGCAGAAGAGGAGAGUGGAAUUCCACGUGUAGCGGUGAAAUGCGUAGAGAUGUGGAGGAACACCAGUGGCGAAGGCGACUCUCUGGUCUGUAACUGACGCUGAGGAGCGAAAGCGUGGGGAGCGAACAGGAUUAGAUACCCUGGUAGUCCACGCCGUAAACGAUGAGUGCUAAGUGUUAGGGGUUUCCGCCCCUUAGUGCUGCAGCUAACGCAUUAAGCACUCCGCCUGGGGAGUACGGUCGCAAGACUGAACUCAA
rnacentral:rRNA from 1 species